rnacentral:rRNA from 1 species
UACGUAGGGUGCAAGCGUUUGUCCGGAAUUAUUGGGCGUAAAGAGCUCGUAGGCGGUGUGUCACGGUCGGCCGUGAAAACCUGCAGCUUAACUGUGGGCGUGCGGUCGAUACGGGCAGACUAGAGUUCGGUAGGGGAGACUGGAAUUCCUGGUGUAGCGGUGAAAUGCGCAGAUAUCAGGAGGAACACCGGUGGCGAAGGCGGGUCUCGUGGGCCGAUGACUGACGCUGAGGAGCGAAGCGUGGGGAGCGAAC